rnacentral:lncRNA from 1 species
ACAGCCUCCUGCGCCACCAGCGAUGCCACCGUGCCGAGCUGGAGCUGGAGAGGGCGGCCGCGCUGCAGGCCCUACAGGCCCAGGCUGCGCAGUCCCCGGCCCCUCUGGAGCAGGAAGCCGAGGGGCUCCCGCUGCCAGUUCCUCGAAUCAAGGAGGAGCCGCCCUCCCCGGGGACCUUGCCCCAGUCCCCAGCGGCACCCCCGGUGUUCCUCAGCGCCUCCUGCUUCGACAGCCAAGACCACUCCGCCUUCAAGAUGGAGGAGGACGAGGUGGACAGCAAGGCCCAACUGCGCGGCUUGGGAGGCCUGGCCUCCUGACCCGCACGGCCCCUCCGACCUCUAGCUUGCAGUGGAUGGAGAGGACCCCCUGCGCCGGCUCCCUCGAGCCCUGUCCCCGGAGCAAGGCCCCGGCCGCCCCCCCUUGCCCAGACCCCGAUGCCGCCCCAUCUUCAGGCAGGACGACUUGGAGCCGGAGGUGGAGGACGCUAGGCCAGAGGGAGGUGGGCAAGUGGCCUCGCCCAGCCGGCCUCUCCCGUGACAUACACUGGACACCAUCACCUCUUCUGAAGGCCCGCCAGGCUGUCCCCGUGAGCACAGGUCCUAGGAGUGGAGUGGAGGGAGGAAGAGCAUCUGCCAGCCAACCUUCCUUAAACUUUCUUGUGCCAUCUGCCUUUCCACCACCACCUUCAAUGGCUCUCUUGCCCUAUGUAAAUACUAGCAUACUUAAUACUUAAGUGUCCUUCCACCUGCAAGAAAAGCAAGCAAGCAUGGGGCCACCCCAUUUUCCAGGCCCCGAGGGUCAGGCGGUACCCCCCACCUGAGCCCUUGGAACAGCUGGCUCGUAGCCAUCCUGGCUGCUCCUGCAGUACAGGCUGGGUUGAUCAGGGCUGCGCAGUGGCUGGGCUGGGCUUGGAGGGACAGUGUAGGUGACCACCACGUCCCGCUCAGGGGCUGGGCAAGAACUGAACACUAGCAGCAAGAAAUCAGGGUUCCCUGAUGAGCCUGGCUCCAAGGACCAGUCAUGUAAGGGUGAGAGCCUCGGUGCUAUUCCCCCAUGCCACCCCCUCCCUGGGGACUGUGGUGGCUCCCUAGUGCCACGAGCCGGCUCAGUGACUGUUUCUGCGGUCACACACCUGGCCAGCACAGUGUCACGGACAAUACUGUCACGGGAGGGGGUUCCAUAGCCCCACUUAAAAGGGGACACACUGAGCUGGGUGUCAUUCUGACCGUGAACUGUCCCUUCAUAUUCAGCAAGUUACUCCCCAGGAGGAAUACUGAAGACGGCCACCAGCUGGUGGCUGCUGCCACUUAGUUACCACACGCGGACAGGCAUAGGAGCACAGCAUAGGAGAUGAGGUGGCCACCCGACCUCAGCCACAGGUGCCCCUGCGGGAAGCAGAGAGCAUUCACUUUCCAGAGGCUGCAGGAGUCGGAACCACCACCCCAGCUCGGGUCCACGACACUGCAGAGUCUCCGGCGUGAGGAGGGGGAUUGGGCCAUGGACUCACUGCUCCUCUGGGCUCAUCCGUGGAGUUCUUAGCUGACUGUGCCGCUGGGAGGCAGGGGCUGGCAGGACAUGGCUGACUGGGGCGUGACUGGAAGGGUACGUCCUCGACCCUGGCUCUUCCCUCUGUCUCUGCUUCCUGGCUGCCAUGGAGUGAGCAGCCAUCCUCCACCAGGCCCUCUCACUGUGCUGUUCUGUCUCGGAGCUGGCCGGCCAUGGACUGGACCCACUGAAACUGUGAGCCAAAUAAACCUCUCCUCCUAAACGCUCUGGGUGUCGCUGUCGUGUCCCAGUGCCGCCACAGCUCGCUAACCCAGUCCCCUCCCCACACGCUGCUGCUCCGGCGGGAGGGCCCCAUCCCUGUGCUGGGAGUUCCUCCCUCCCUCCCUAGCCCGAACACCACCGCUGCCUCAUGCAGCUGCUGCCUCCAGAGAGAAGCGUUCCCAGGAAGAAAUCCGGAUCCUGUGGGGAGGACAGGCUCAGAGAGGCAGCAAGCUCCGCUGCUCUGCUUUGAAAUACCCA